CUACGGGAGGCAGCAGCAAGGAUCUGGACAAAGGGCGAAAGCUUAACCAGCACACCGAUUGGCGAGAAAGGCCUUUCGGGUCGUAAAGCCCGUUGAUAAGGACGAAGGGCGAAGGAUUAAUAGCCCCUAGCCUUGACGGUUACCUUUCGAGGAAGCCCCGGCUUACUACGUGCCAGCAGCCGCGGUAAUACGUAGGGGGCGAGCGUUGUCCGGAAUUAUUGGGCGUAAAGAGCGUGUAGGCGGUUCGGUAAGUCUGCCGUGAAAACCUGAGGCUCAACGUCGGGCGUGCGGUGGAUACUGCCGGGCUAGAGGACGGUAGAGGCGAGUGGAAUUCCCGGUGUAGCGGUGAAAUGCGCAGAUAUCGGGAGGAACACCAGUAGCGAAGGCGGCUCGCUGGGCCGUUCCUGACGCUGAGACGCGAAAGCUAGGGGAGCGAACAGGAUUAGAUACCCUGGUAGUCCUAGCCGUAAACGAUGGACACUAGGUGUGGGGGGAGUCGAAUCCCUCUGUGCCGCAGUUAACGCGUUAAGUGUCCCGCCUGGGGAGUACGGCCGCAAGGCUAAAACUCAAAAGAAUUGACGGGGGCCCGCACAAGCAGCGGAGCAUGUUCUUUAAUUCGAUGCAACGCGAAGAACCUUACCUGGACUUGACAUGGUGCUGCAAGCGCACGGAAACGUGUGACCUUCGAGGGUGCACCACAGAUGCUGCAUGGCUGUCGUCAGCUUGUGUCGUGAGAUGUUGGGUUAAGUCCCGCAACGAGCGCAACCCCUGUGGCGUGUUGCCAUCAUUAAGUUGGGGACUCACGCCAGACUGCCGGUGACAAACCGGAGGAAGGUGGGGAUGAGGUCAAGUCAUCAUGGCUCUUACGUCCAGGGCUAGAAACGUGCUACAAUGGCUGAUACAAAGGGUUGCAAGACCGCUAGGUGGAGCGAAUCUCAUCAAAGUCAGUCUAAGUUCGGAUCGCAGUCUGCAACUCGACUGCGUGAAGGCGGAGUUGCUAGUAAUCGCGGAUCAGCAUGCCGCGGUGAAUACGUUCCCGGG
rnacentral:rRNA from 1 species